AGAGUUUGAUCCUGGCUCAGGAUGAACGCUGGCGGCGUGCCUAAUACAUGCAAGUCGAACGCUUUGUGGUCCAACUGAUUCGAAGAGCUUGCUCAGAUAUGACGAUGGACAUUGCAAAGAGUGGCGAACGGGUGAGUAACACGUGGGAAACCUACCUCUUAGCAGGGGAUAACACUUGGAAACAAGUGCUAAUACCGUAUAACACUAAUAACCGCAUGGUUAUUAGUUAAAAGAUGGUCUUGCUAUCACUAAGAGAUGGUCCCGCGGUGUAUUAGCUAGUUGGUAAGGUAAUGGCUUACCAAGGCAAUGAUACAUAGCCGAGUUGAGAGACUGAUCGGCCACAAUGGGACUGAGACACGGCCCAUACUCCUACGGGAGGCAGCAGUAGGGAAUCUUCCACAAUGGACGAAAGUCUGAUGGAGCAACGCCGCGUGUGUGAUGAAGGGUUUCGGCUCGUAAAACACUGUUGUAAGAGAAGAAUGACAUUGAGAGUAACUGUUCAGUGUGUGACGGUAUCUUACCAGAAAGGAACGGCUAAAUACGUGCCAGCAGCCGCGGUAAUACGUAUGUUCCAAGCGUUAUCCGGAUUUAUUGGGCGUAAAGCGAGCGCAGACGGUUAUUUAAGUCCGAAGUGAAAGCCCACAGCUUAACUGUGGAAGUGCUUUGGAAACUGGAUAACUUGAGUGCAGUAGAGGAGAGUGGAACUCCAUGUGUAGCGGUGAAAUGCGUAGAUAUAUGGAAGAACACCAGUGGCGAACGCGGCUCUCUGGACUGUAACUGACGUUGAGGCUCGAAAGUGUGGGUAGCAAAACAGGAUUAGAUACUCCUGGUAGUUCCACACCGUAAACGAUGAGUGCUAGAAUGUGUUUUGAGGGAUUUCCGUCCGUAAGUGUCGCAGCUUAACGCAAUAGCACUCGACUGUGGAGUACGACGGCAGGUGAACCUCAAAGG
rnacentral:rRNA from 1 species